AAACCAUGAUGUGGGCAGUCCCUUUGGUAGCUCUUGAACCUCUCCCAAGAGCUUCUGAAACCUUCUGUAGGUCCCUGAGAGAAUGUCCAAAUUUUAUCUCUUAUUUC